rnacentral:snoRNA from 1 species
CUGCAGGUAUCUUUGGGACCUGUCAGCUGUGGCAGCCCCCCUUCCUAGUCAUGGAGAAACAUGUUCCUGUUUAUGGCAAAGCUGUCGCAUUUCCUUGGUGUCUGAUUCUGAUUCACNUUGAUGACAUUC